ACCCAGCCGUGUUGAGGGCGUCACUGGCACGGGUUAAUAUGUGAUCUCGACAUUGUAAUGCUCAUAUGAGAACACCUUGUUCUAUAUCAACAAACCUAUUCACCACUUCCUUCAUACACCUGUUCACACUAGAGGCAGGGGUAAUUUUUUUUUCCCUUAAUGAACCACAUUUAUUAAAAAUGACUAAGACUACAUAAAAAUCCAAGAUCUCUAAAAAGCCUACGGGAGCUGUGGCAUCGGGUUUUAGUUUCUUGACAUUACUGAGCUGGGGUGGGGGGGACGGCAAGAGGGCGAAAUCAUUUUCCUUAAACACGUUUCAAGUUAGUACAGAGUAGCUGAAUACAUUCUUAACUAUCUAAGAAGCAAACAGAAUAUUCCCAAACAUCAGGGAUGAUGAGAGAACCAAUCCCCCUGCCCCUGCAACUGUUGUCAGGUGAUCUGGAAAUUCUUUACAAAGCCAAAGCACCAAUCGUGCAUAAUCUCAGACACGUAUGUAGACUAUAUGUACAAUAUAUCCCACGUCACCCUAUGGUGUAUCCAAGCACACACAAAACUAUACACGGUAAAAUUCUCUCUUUUUUUCUUUUUUGGGGACUCCCUGGCACCUGUCCUCUCCUGAGCCCUACUGGCCACCCCGGCACGCAGCAGAGGCCUGGCAGACAUGGAGUCAUGACCACGAUCAUCCUGGUCUGGCAGCUGGACACCAAACGGGAAUAGGAUGUCUUAGGAAAUGCCAGCUCGGACUGACGUGACAGAGGACCAGGAGACAUCCCAGUCUAUUCCAACUGUCCUCACUGGCACUCUCCAACCCCUGAGAAAGGGAAGGAGUGUGUACAUGGGUGAACGUUGCGGAGAGGGGGGCUCGUAAACUGGUCAGCAUUGCCCAGAUUUGACAGACAGGAUGUGUUCACCACCGGGCAGAUGAGUAGCUCCAAAGACAACUUGCCAAGGGGGGGAAAUAAAAAAGUCACGCUUCUUGUACAGGUGAGUUCGGGGCCUUCCAUAAGCACCUAUUAUAACCGGGCUGAGAAUCGGCACCAGCCAGCCUCGCAGAGGGAACUUCACCGUCCCAGCCAGCUGUUUGCAACGAUUUAGUGUGUUACAGGCUUCUUUUUCAAGGGAGAGACCAGCAGUGUUUAAAUCCUCUCUUUACAAAUUAUUCAAGAGCAUUGAAAAGACAUUCGACAGUUACACAAGGUCCUGCUCGAUCAUUUGCAUAAUUACUACUAGCAUAUCUUUGUAUCCAACAUCAAAGUUAAAUUUUCUCCUUACCGAAUAUCGUUUUAAGUCAACUGGAUUGAACAAGGACUUUUGAGUUGCGAAGUUACACCAGAAAAUUGAAUUUGAUUGUCAGCAUUUAAAUAUAAUCUAUUUUCGAUACUUUAAAUAUUCAUAUAUACAGUGCAUAACAUUCAGACAUAAAAUCAAAUUAAGCAAUUAUAUCAUACUUGAGACUUUAUAAUUCUUUGUAGCUCUCUGAGUUGUAUCCCUUUCCCUCUUCCUUUCCUUCCAAACAAAUAAAACAUGUUAAGUAUAAAGUUCAAA